AGAGCGUAGGGAGAAUGCCUUGGCAUUAGGAGCCGAUGAAGGACGUGAUAAGCUGCGAUAAGCUGCGGGGAUCAGCAAGUAUGAAUUGAUCCGCAGAUUUCCGAAUGGAGCAAUCCGUAUGUGUAUGCACAUACAUCAUAUACUGAAUCAAAUAGGUAUAUGAGGGGAACCGCCUGAACUGAAACAUCUAAGUAGGGCGAGGAAGAGAAAUCAACUGAGAUUCCGUAAGUAGUGGCGAGCGAACGCGGAAGAGGCCAAACCUAAUGUAGUAAUAUGUUAGGGGUUCGGACAGUAAAAUGAAUUGUCGAGAUUUAGCCGAAUGUCAUGGGAAGGGCAAUCAAAGAAGGUGAAAAUCCUGUAGGCGAAAAGUUAAGACAUCAGACUGUAUCCAGAGUACCGCCGGACACGUGAAACCCGGUGGGAAUAUGGGGGGACCAUCCUCCAAGCCUAAAUACUACCCAGUGACCGAUAGCGUAUAGUACUGUGAAGGAAAGGUGAAAAGGACCCCGGGAGGGGAGUGAAAUAGAACCUGAAACCCUGUGCUUACAAGCACCGAGAGCCCGUCAAAGGGUGAUCGGGUACUUUUUGUAGAACGGUCCGGCGAGUAUAUGGAACAAGCAAGGUUAAGGUCUUCAGGACCGCAGCCGAAGGGAAACCAAGUCUUAAUAGGGCGCACAGUUUGUUUCAUAUGACCCGAAACCGGGUGACCUAUCCAUGUCCAGGUUGAAGUGGCGGUAAAACGCCAUGGAGGACCGAACCAACCCCCGUUGAAAAGGUGGUGGAUGAGGUGUGGAUAGCGGAGAAAUUCCAAUCGAACUCGGAUAUAGCUGGUUCUCCCCGAAAUAGCUUUAGGGCUAGCGUUGUGUUAGAUUACCGGAGGUAAAGCACUGAAUGGUUUAGGGGCUGAUAAAGUUACCGACGCCUAUCAAACUCUGAAUGCCGGAUAAUUGAUGCACAGCAGUCAGACAGUGUGAGAUAAGUUUCAUUGUCAAAAGGGAAACAGCCCAGACCCACAGCUAAGGUCCCAAAUGUAUGUUAAGUGGAAAAGGAUGUCCAGUUGCACAAACAACCAGGAUGUUGGCUUAGAAGCAGCCACACAUUCAAAGAGUGCGUAACAGCUCACUGGUCGAGUGACCGGGCGCCGAAAAUGUAACGGGGCUAAACAUACAACCGAAGCUUGGGCUGCACAGCAAUGUGCGGGGUAGGGGAGCGUUGUGUGCGGGGAGAAGCACGAGCGGAAGCGCGUGUGGACUGCACAGAAGUGAGAAUGCCGGAAUGAGUAGCGCGAAUUAUGUGAGAAUCAUAAUGGCCGAAAGCCUAAGGUUUCUGGAGGAAGGUUCGUCCGCUCCAGGUUAGCCGGGAGCUAAGGUGAGGCCGAAAGGCGUAGCCGAUGCACAUACGGUGGAGAUUCCGUAGCCAUCAAAAGAUUUAAGCAGAGGGACACAGUAGAAGGGUACAUGCCGGGCGUUGGUAGCCCCGGUUGCAAGGGACCGAAAUUAGAGUAGGGAAGAUGGACUUGGAUACUGGCGAGAAAAGCUCUGUGGAUAUCUGCGAUGCCCGUACCGCAAACCGACACAGGUAGGUAGGAAGAGGAUUCUAAGGCCAACGGGAGAAGGGUUGUUAAGGAACUCGGCAAGUUGACCCCGUAACUUCGGAAUAAGGGGUGCUCAGGAAACUGAGCCGCAGAGAAUAGGUCCAGGCGACUGUUUAGCAAAAACACAGCUCUAUGCUAAAUCGGAAGAUGAUGUAUAUGGGGUGACGCCUGCCCGGUGCUGGAAGGUUAAGAGGAGGAGUGAGAGCCCCGAAUCGAAGCCCCAGUAAACGGCGGCCGUAACUAUAACGGUCCUAAGGUAGCGAAAUUCCUUGUCAGGUAAGUUCUGACCCGCACGAAAGGCGUAAUGAUCUGGACACUGUCUCAACAGCCCACCCGGCGAAAUUGUAGUACCGGUGAAGAUGCCGGUUACCCGCGACAAGACGGAAAGACCCCAUGGAGCUUUACUGCAGCCUAAUAUUGGAUUUCGGUAUUUCAUGUACAGGAUAGGUGGGAGACUAGGAAACACAGGCGUCAGCUUGUGCGGAGUCGACCUUGGGAUACCACCCUUGAAGUGCUGGAAUUCUAACCUGUGGCCAUGAAUCUGGUCAGGGGACAUUGUUAGGCGGGCAGUUUGACUGGGGCGGUCGCCUCCAAAAGAGUAACGGAGGCGCUCA
rnacentral:rRNA from 1 species